rnacentral:rRNA from 1 species
AGUGAACGCUGGCGGUAGGCCUAACACAUGCAAGUCGAACGGCAGCACAGUAAGAGCUUGCUCUUACGGGGUGCGAGUGGCGGACGGGUGAGGAAUACAUUGGAAUCUGCUUUUUCGGGGGGGCUAAGGUAGGGAAAUUUACGCUAAUACCGCAUAGGGCCUACGGGUGAAAGCAGGAGAGUUUCGGAGCUUACGCUGAUGAAGGAGCCGAUGUCGGAUUAGCUAGUUGGCGGGGUAAAGGCCCACCAAGGCGAUGAUCCGUAGAUGGACUGAGAGGAUGAUCAGCCACACUGGAACUGAGACACGGUCCAGACUCCUACGGGAGGCAGCAGUGGGGAAUAUUGGACAAUGGGCGCAAGCCUGAUCCAGCCAUACCGAGUGGGUGAAGAAGGCCUUCGGGUUGUAAAGCCCUUUUGUUGGGAAAGAAAAGCAGCAGGUUAAUACCCCGCUGUUCUGACGGUACCCAAAGAAUAAGCACCGGCUAACUUCGUG